GACGAACGCUGGCGGCGUGCCUAAUACAUGCAAGUUGAGCGCUGAAGGUUGGUACUUGUACCAACUGGAUGAGCAGCGAACGGGUGAGUAACGCGUGGGGAAUCUGCCUUUGAGCGGGGGACAACAUUUGGAAACGAAUGCUAAUACCGCAUAAAAACUUUAAACACAAGUUUUAAGUUUGAAAGAUGCAAUUGCAUCACUCAAAGAUGAUCCCGCGUUGUAUUAGCUAGUUGGUGAGGUAAAGGCUCACCAAGGCGAUGAUACAUAGCCGACCUGAGAGGGUGAUCGGCCACAUUGGGACUGGGAACCGGCCCAAACUCCUUCGGGAGGCAGCAGUAGGGAAUCUUCGGCAAUGGACGAAAGUCUGACCGAGCAACGCCGCGUGAGUGAAGAAGGUUUUCGGAUCGUAAAACUCUGUUGGUAGAGAAGAACGUUGGUGAGAGUGGAAAGCUCAUCAAGUGACGGUAACUACACAGAAAGGGACGGCUAACUACGUG
rnacentral:rRNA from 1 species